UGUGAGUGUGUGUGUUACAUGGUUGGGGGGUGCGUGACUCCAUACCUGUAAAACUACCCAUACGAGCCGAAGGCCCAAGGGCAAUACUACAACGCCUAAAAGCCACGGAGAACAGGAAACACCGCACUCUCAGCCCAGACUAGCGUCCAAAGGGGGUAAUUGAGUUUCGGUGAGCCCACAUACGUUCCAACAUCCUCGCCAGACGUGCUGGUUCCCAUUUCAUGGCCUCCAACAUGCUCUGUUGAUGAUCGAAUCCCUCUUCAGCACGAAUAUCAUUAUAGGCUGGGCAUUCCAAUAACACGUGUUCUUCAUCCUCGAUUCGGCUAUUAGUACCACAACAGCGGCAAAACCGCUGCCCCCUGGGGACAUGGUACUUGCCUCUUCGUGCUCUGUUUGCCUCCAGAGCCCAGCAACAUAAACGAAACUGCAUUAGCUUACGAUGUGCUAAACGAGGAAUGAAAACCUUAUCAUGUGUUGGCCACAUGACGGCUGCGGCUCCGAAAAGGGCAGCCCCAUCCAGUGCUUAUACUUCGCCAUUUGCACUCCCGGUUGCUUCCCAUCUGAUGGGUACUCCUCUGGCAAGGCAGUCAGACGCGUAUGGUCCCAGCCGCUCAUCAAACGCCCUCUUAGUGCCGUUAUCAUCGCUCCUUCGGGUAGAGGCCUACUCAACAACCAGUCAACACGCUCCUUUAACCCCAUGACUCCUUGCGGUAUUCCGCUCCAAAUAUUGCACUCCAAGAAAGAAAGCAGUCGUAACAUUGAGGUUCCCCAACCCUCCCAUUCCGGGUUGGUCAGGGCAUGGGUUAUCUCCUGCCGUAAAACUGCAUGAGCAAUGGACCCCACCUUGUUUUUGAAGGCGGUUCCAGAAACGGAGGAUCUGUUUCACCAUAUAAUACUGUAAGGGGAGGUCAGCCAGCUCUGCAUAGAACAGCCUGUGGGAUGGCCGUGCCGUCCCCACUACCUGCCUCAUGAAUAAAAUCUGCAGCUGGACUGCACUAUCCUUCAAACAGGCUUCGAACAUGCCCUCCGCAAGGUUGGCUUUAUCCCGCCGCCUUCCCGCCCUGUCCACGACCUCUGCCAGCGCAAAAGGGCCCCACACCUGGCAGCCAUACAACAUAAUUGCUCGGACUUGGGUUGCAAAGCACCGCAUUCGCACGUCGGGGGCAAACAGCUUCAUUUUGUCCAGCUUUGCGCCAAAGGAAAACAUAGCGGACCGACCUGUAUCACAUAACUGCUGACGGCACGCACAAAAAGGCCGUUAUGGCCCGUGUACCAAGCCCAGAUAGCGAGCGCUAUCUUUGGCAGGUAUUACCUGGCCUGAUAGCCAUAACAGUUGACAUCUCUCGCUAAGUUCCGACUGCUGGGUGCCACCACAUGCAAAAACAAGCAAUUAAUACCUGGCGCUAAAACAUGCAAAAUACGAUACCAUUUUGGUUUCGGCGCUCCUUAGUGCACCUAGUGGAAACACCGUCACACUUGCACUACACUAAGUCCACACUAGCCCAUAAUGUACCGAAGAUAGUGUGCGCUCAAGUGGAAACACCCUGUUAGGAAGCGAACUUCGCCCACAAAUUUAGUGUGUGCGAGACGUCCGCAUAACAUAAUAUGGAUCGUAGGCUUUUUCUGUUAAACGCGGGCUCCAUUGCAAAUUUGCGGCCUCCUGAGGCUGUCGGUGUAGGGCGUUUGCAGGUCAACGCGGCGUUUGCAGGAAGGAAAAAAAAUAGCUGCUCAUGUCAAAGGUCUGUGGUCAGAAGGCACAAACCAGCUCCUAAAAGUUGCCCACCAAAUAAUUAGUGCUAGGAUUGAAAGUUACUGGCAGGUCUGAGGUCCGAUUAACUUUGUGACGCGCUAGUGUGGACUUAGUGUACGGGGUGUUUCCACUAGGCCUUACGGUUCUCCGCCAGGAGUGCGCCAACCUCCAAUUUGUUUGAUGAAUACAGGGUAUUUCCACUAGGCCGCACACAGGGUAUUUCCACUAGGCCGCACACUAACUUUUGGACAUUAUCUUUAACGUGGACUUAGUGUGUGGCAGUGGACAGGUGUUUCCACUAAGCGCCCCGGAACCAUACGACAGGUUGCUAUAAAGGCACCAAACCAUUGUUAUAAUAAGAGUGGGUGUAAUUUAAUGCGCAAAUCAUUACAGUUUGGUCGGCGAAUUGCUGGAAUGUGGGCAAUUCGACCGGUCCUGCUGUGAAUUCCACUGGUUAGCGGGCUAUU
rnacentral:lncRNA from 1 species